rnacentral:rRNA from 1 species
CACGUAGGGCGCAAGCGUUAUCCGGAAUUAUUGGGCGUAAAGAGCGUGUAGGCGGUUCGGUAAGUCUGCCGUGAAAACCCAGGGCUCAACCCUGGGCGUGCGGUGGAUACUGCCGGGCUAGAGGGUGGUAGAGGCGAGUGGAAUUCCCGGUGUAGCGGUGAAAUGCGCAGAUAUCGGGAGGAACACCAGUAGCGAAGGCGGCUCGCUGGGCCAUACCUGACGCUGAGACGCGAAAGCGUGGGGAGCAAACAGG